GGCUCAUUGGCGAUGUGGUCAGCGCGCUAGACUUUUAGUGGGGAGUCUGGGGUUCGAUUCCCCGCCCGGGUA